CACUGCUGUCCAUUCCGGGGGUGUUUAAUUUACAGCGGCACCGCAACCCAAGACUCGUUUGCUCGUUAGCAGCGUGUUUGCGUGUUUUUUUGAGGAGUGGUAAGCAGGCCCUAUUUGCUGACUCGGAUGUGCACGCUGUUUAGAAGUUAGCCUCCCCGGCGGUAUCGCUCCGCGCAGCGCACGGCGGCUCAGAAAGAGCAGGACGAGGCGCCAUUUUGAAGGGGGUUGGAAGCGGUGGGAUUGCGGGAAGGAGACGCGCAGGCAACAUUACCCGCUGUCUGGCUCUGCGCUUCACGAUUUAAAACAAACAGCGAAGCAGUUCAUCCUCUCCGCUCAUGUCUGGAGGCGGUGUGAUCCGAGGCCCAGCCGGCAAUAACGAUUGCCGCAUCUACGUGGGGAACCUGCCGCCGGACAUCCGCACCAAGGACAUCGAGGACGUGUUUUACAAGUACGGGGCGAUCCGCGACAUCGACCUGAAGAACCGCCGCGGCGGGCCGCCGUUCGCCUUCGUGGAGUUCGAGGAUCCCAGAGACGCCGAGGACGCAGUGUACGGACGCGAUGGGUACGACUAUGACGGGUACCGCCUGCGAGUUGAGUUUCCUAGAAGCGGCAGGGGCGCUGGCAGAGGCGGCGGCGGAGGAGGAGGGGGCGGAGGAGGUGGUGGUGGGGGAGGAGGAGGGGGCGGAGGUGGAGCACCCCGGGGGAGAUACGGACCUCCGUCCCGGCGCUCCGAGUACAGAGUCAUUGUUUCAGGGCUUCCUCCGAGUGGCAGCUGGCAGGAUCUCAAGGAUCACAUGCGUGAAGCAGGUGAUGUAUGUUAUGCUGACGUUUUCCGAGAUGGGACUGGUGUUGUGGAGUUUGUUCGCAAAGAAGACAUGACCUACGCGGUUCGAAAACUGGAUAACACUAAAUUCAGAUCACAUGAGGGAGAAACCGCGUACAUCCGCGUGAAAGUCGACGGCCCCCGGAGCCCCAGCUACGGAAGAUCUCGCUCCCGGAGCCGAAGCAGGAGCAGGAGCCGGAGCAGAAGCAACAGCCGCAGCCGCAGCUACUCCCCCCGGCGAAGCAGAGGAUCCCCCCGCUACUCCCCCCGCCACAGCCGCUCCCGAUCCCGUACUUAGAAUUAGAGAAGCAGCAUCGGCUUGCUGCUGCUGUUCAGUGGAUCGCUUUGUAAUGACAUUAUCAGACGAGAAGGAUUAAAGAAUGCAUUGGAAUAAAGGAUUGUGAAGCACAAUUCAUUCAAAUUAGGAUUGUCAGAUUGGAGGAGGAUUUGAGGAGGCGCAGUCAGAUCAAUAAUGGAGGCAAUGACCGAAGAUGGUCCUCUGUGCAAACAGACAGUAAAUACCCUGCAAGCUUAAACAAAGUGAUUUGUUUAAUGUCUCUGCAGUACCUUGAUACACACCUCAAAAUGGCACAAGUCUAUGUACCAAUAAGUAGCAUGUUUUAAACAGUAAGUCAGUCUUUGAAGUUGAAUAGUGGCCUGAUCUGUUAACACAUUUGCAUUGGAUUGCUGCACCAUUCACUUGCUUUGGGAGCUGAUCAUUGUCUGGCAUCAUGCGUUGAUGUGUUUUUUGUUUUAGUUAACCAGCCAUAUGAUCUCCUCCCCUAAAUUUGAUCUAUUUUUUUUAAAAACAAAACAAACCCUGUUUGAUUACAGUUCUGAUUCUAACUUGUUGCCUCCUCUUUUUGGUUUUGCUGGUAUUUAAAGGUUUGGAUUGGAGGAGGGGCUCUCCCUGGAUCUCAAUCCUUGGAGCCGGAUCAUUGGAUCAGUUCAUAAUCAGGAUAGGAUAGGGAAGGAUGGAUUCAUGGAGCGGGAUCAAUUUACCGGGAACCGUAGGAGUGGAUUCCCCCCCAACCAAACCGCAUUUUCAUGGAAUUCAAACCCACCCCUCUUUCAAUUGGCUAUUCUAAAAUAAAAUAGUCUCAGUCCCCCCCCCCCCUCCAUUAUUUUUGUUUAUUUUGUAAUUGGUCAGUUUUGGCACACCCCCCACAGAUGCACGGUCAUGGGAUUUUUUUUGGUAAGAGGAGCAAAGCGAGGACCAGGAACCAGGAGCAAUCUCCUUGGAUGGAAUCCGCAUGAGGAGUUUGGUAAAUUUUAAAACGGCGGGCGGGGUGGGGAAGGGAGAAAGUGGGGAGGGAUGGGCUUUUGAGUCAUUCAAGUAAAAUUGGUGCUUUUUUAUUUUUAUAACUUUUUUUUUUUUUUUUUUCCUGAAUUGGCUUCCACCAUUAUUUUAAACAUAACGGGUAAAACAGGUCUUCUAUUGGCAUACAACGAGGCUUCAUUUGUAGUGUUGAUUUAAUUUCACAAUAAAACUCUUGAAAGAAAA